AAACUUAAAUGAAUUGACGGGACCCGCACAAGCGGUGGAUGAUGUGGUUUAAUUCGAUGCAACGCGAAAAACCUUACCUACCUUUGACAUGUACGGAAUUCGCCAGAGAUGGCUUAGUGCUCGAAAGAGAACCGUAACACAGGUGCUGCAUGGCUGUCGUCAGCUCGUGUCGUGAGAUGUUGGGUUAAGUCCCGCAACGAGCGCAACCCUUGUCAUUAGUUGCUACAUUUAGUUGGGCACUCUAAUGAGACUGCCGGUGACAAACCGGAGGAAGGUGGGGAUGACGUCAAGUCCUCAUGGCCCUUAUAGGUAGGGCUACACACGUCAUACAAUGGAUGGUACAAAGGGUCGCCAACCCGCGAGGGGGAGCCAAUCCCAUAAAACCAUUCGUAGUCCGGAUCGCAGUCUGCAACUCGACUGCGUGAAGUCGGAAUCGCUAGUAAUCGUGGAUCAGAAUGUCACGGUGAAUACGUUCCCGGGUCUU
rnacentral:rRNA from 1 species